rnacentral:tRNA from 1 species
GCUGGGUAGCUCAGUCGGGUAGAGCAUGAGGCUGUUUCACGACCAACUCGUCGCCGUGACGAGAUCAGCUUGGCGAAUGCUGGUAGGACUACAUGGCGGCGCGGGUUCGAAUCCCGCCCUGCGCA